rnacentral:rRNA from 1 species
GACGAACGCUGGCGGCGUGCUUAACACAUGCAAGUCGAACGGAAAGGCCCUGCUUUUGUGCGGUGCUCGAGUUGCGAACGGGUGAGUAACACGUGAGUAACCUGCCCUUGACUUUGGGAUAACUUCAUGAAACUUGGGCUAAUACCGGAUAGGAGCUCCUGCUGCAUGGUGGGGGUUGGAUAGUUUCGGCGGUUGGGGAUGGACUCGCGGCUUAUCAGCUUGUUGGUUGGGUAGUGGCUUACCAUGGCUUUGACGGGUAGCCGGCCUGAGAGGGUGACCGGACAAAUUGGGACUGAGAUACGGCACAGACUACUACGGGAGGCAGCAGUGGGGAAUAUUACACAAUGGGAGGAAGCCUGAUGCAGCAAAGCCGCGUGCGGGAUGACGGCCUUCGGGUUGUAAACCGCUUUCGCCUGUGACGAAGCGUGAGUGACGGUAAUGGGUAAAGAAGCACCGGCUAACUACGUG